CCUACGGGCGGCAGCAGUGGGGGAUAUUGGACAAUGGGGGGAACCCUGAUCCAGCGACGCCGCGUGAGUGAAGAAGUAUUUCGGUAUGUAAAGCUCUGUCAGCAGGGAAGAAAGCAAUGACGGUACCUGACCAAGAAGCCCCGGCUAACUACGUGCCAGCAGCCGCGGUAAUACGUAGGGGGCAAGCGUUAUCCGGAAUUACUGGGUGUAAAGGGAGCGUAGACGGCUGUGCAAGUCUGGAGGGAAAGGCGGGGGCCCAACCCCCGGACUGCGCUGGAAACUGUAUGGCUGGAGUGCAGGAGAGGGAAGGGGAAGUGGUGGGGUAGCGGGGAAAUGCGUAGAUAUGAGGGGGAA
rnacentral:rRNA from 1 species